UGUGGGAGCUGGCUUGCCAGCGAUAGCGUCGGGACAGGCUAUCUCUCUGUUGACUGACACACCGUCAUCGCUGGCAAGCCAGCUCCCACA
rnacentral:antisense_RNA from 1 species